AUUGAAUUGUAUAUAGUGCCUGGAGUUCCCUGGCAUUGUUCCUUUUUUCAAUGUUAAACAAUUUUUGAGCAAUUUAACACUAAACAAGGAUCCCUGCCUCUCACAGCCUCGUCCCCACUGGGAGUAUGGCUACGUCAGAGAUUACACUCUUCCUUGACCUUAUCAAUACAUAACAGCAAUGGGCACUGUGAUAGGCUGAAAGUGGUCAGCUGACACUCUCAGGCAAUCACAGCUUACC